rnacentral:rRNA from 1 species
AUGGAUUGGCCGGUGCUGCCGGCUGGUGUCAAGUUCGAUCCCACGGAUCAGAAGCUGAUCGAGCACCUUGAGGCCAAAGUGAGUGCUGACAGCGUGAGAUUUCAGUCUCUCAUCGAUUUGUUCAUACCAACCAUCGACAACGAGCACAGCAUAUGCUACACCCAACCUGAGAAACUUCCAGGUAUCACACUGAGUGGCCUAAGGAAGCAAUUCUUCCAGCGCAAUUCCAGGGCGUUCAAAAUGGGCACGUGGACACGUCGCAAGAUACAGUCGGAGUGCGGCAUGCACGCGAUGUGGCCCAAGACCGGCAAUACCUUGCCGGUGAUGGUCAACGGCCGGCAGACGGGCAGCAAAAAAGGUUCUGGUGCUGCACACCAACAAGAACUUCGACCAACAGACGACCAACUGGGUGAUGCACCAGUACCACCUCGGGGACCUGGAGCAAGAUAA